GAUGAACGCUGGCGGCGUGCCUAAUACAUGCAAGUCGAACGGACAGACGCGGCGCUUGCUCCUUUGACGUUUGCCGAGCACGGGUGAGUCACGCGUGUAUCCUCUACCUAUAUUUCUGGGAUAACUUCGGGAAACCGGAGCUAAUACCGGAUAAUAUCUUGAAGCGUGUGGUUCAAUAGUGAAAUACGGUUUUGCUGUAUCUACUAGAUGGAUCUGCGCCGCAUUAGCUAGUUGGUAAGUUAACGGGUUACCAAGGCAACGAUGCGUAUCCGACCGGAUAGGCGGAUCGGCCACACUGGAACUGAGACACGGUCCAGGCGCCUACGGGAGGCAGCAGUAUGGAAUCUUCCGCAGCGGGCGAGAGCUUUACGGAGCAACGCCGAGUGAGUGAUGAAGGUCUUCGGAGCGUAAAACUCGGUUAUGAGUGAAGAACAAAUGUGGAAGGAACUAUGCACUGCUUGACGGUACCUAAUCAGAAAGCCACGGCUAACUACGUG
rnacentral:rRNA from 1 species